rnacentral:lncRNA from 1 species
GUCCUACACAAUUUAUCGACGACUACCUUAUUAACACUAGCAUUAUCAAAAGUAAAAGAUCGAAUUUUAGUCUCGCAAUGAUAUUCUCUAACAAUACUGAUAAUAACAUUAUAUAUGUUAUUAGCAUUUUGAGGAAACUCAAUAAUUCUAAAAACAAUAAUUUUCUUAUGCAUGCUCCAAAGUGGGUCUAUAUAGUUUGAGAUUGUAGCUAUCUAUGUUAUUUUAUUAACCCCUUUCCAUAUAUCAAAAGUUAAAGAUAUAACAUUCCCAUAUUGUUGCAAAUCCAUAAUUAAUUGUUGUUUUGAAUUAUUGAAAUAAUUUAUUGUAUUGGCACAAAGAGUGUUUUGACUUACCCCAACGUAUCUCGAUUGUAGAUAUUCUUUCACGAACGAGACGAAAUAUUGAUUGUCUGCAAUAGCCAGAGGCAACUCAGUGGCGGCAACAAAUUUCACCAUUCCAGUUUGAGUAUUGUCCUCCGAGUACACCCACGUGGAUAGGGGUAAAGUUGUAGAAUCAACGUCUGGACUGCCAAAUUGCAAUUGUGUUUGACCAGCUGGAAGAAGUCUAUGUCUGGUUGCACAUGCUUUGCAGUGGCGGUUGAGAUGAGUGGUACCAAUUUCUUUUUACCAUGCCAAUAUUUGUUGGUAGUAUUUACAUACUGCUUUAGAUUCUGCAAGGCCUUCGACAACUUUUCCCGUUGGAAUCAACUUAAAAUGAUCGCUUGUUUUUUGGCCUUUCGCUUUCCCUUCGCAUCUGGGAUGUUUAAUUCAGCAUCUUCAUCCUCAUGUUCCGCUUCGAGAACGUUAAUAUCAUCCAAAUCAAUUGGAUUGUGGCUUCUCUGAUCGUGAAUGUGAACAUCUUCAGGUAUCGGUAGGUCAUUUAGACCGACAAAUUCAUUUGAAAAUUGACUUUGCAGCUUCCUAGGCGAUUCGCCAUGAUGUGACCCACAUCCUGUAUCGAACAAACUUUCAACAAAUGAGCGUUGAUCAAUUUGUUUGAUUGUUUAUGAUAAAAUCUUAAUUAGAAGAAUAUAAAUGUAGUGAGAUUGUGAGAAUUCAAAAUUUGAUGAAUUGAAAUUAUAACUACUAAACUAUAAAAAUUGAAUUGAUAUUAUAUAUUUUUCAGCACAAAAUAGUAAAAACUCGAUAAUUGAUAUAAUAAAAG